ACCAGGAUGGCUGAGUGGUUAAGGUGUUGGACUUACAAGCCAAUGGACACAUGUCUGCAUGGGUUCAAGCCCCACUCCUGGUA